rnacentral:rRNA from 1 species
GACGAACGCUGGCGGCGUGCCUAAUACAUGCAAGUAGAACGCACAGUUUAUACCGUAGCUUGCUACACCAUAGACUGUGAGUUGCGAACGGGUGAGUAACGCGUGGGUAACCUGCCUGGUAGCGGGGGAUAACUAUUGGAAACGAUAGCUAAUACCGCAUAAUAUUAAUUAUUGCAUGAUAAUUAAUUGAAAGGUGCAAUUGCACCACUACCAGAUGGACCUGCGUUGUAUUAGCUAGUAGGUGAGGUAACGGCUCACCUAGGCGACGAUACAUAGCCGACCUGAGAGGGUGAUCGGCCACACUGGGACUGAGACACGGCCCAGACUCCUACGGGAGGCAGCAGUAGGGAAUCUUCGGCAAUGGACGAAAGUCUGACCGAGCAACGCCGCGUGAGUGAAGAAGGUGUUCGGAUCGUAAAGCUCUGUUGUAAGAGAAGAACGGGUGUGAGAGUGGAAAGUUCACACUGUGACGGUAUCUUACCAGAAAGGGACGGCUAACUACGU